rnacentral:rRNA from 1 species
GACGAACGCUGGCGGCGUGCCUAAUACAUGCAAGUCGAGCGGAUUGAUGGGAGCUUGCUCCCUGAUAUCAGCGGCGGACGGGUGAGUAACACGUGGGCAACCUGCCUGUAAGACUGGGAUAACUUCGGGAAACCGGGGCUAAUACCGGAUAACUUCUAGCACCUCCUGGUGCGAGAAUAAAAGAUGGCGUCCAGCUAUCACUUACAGAUGGGCCCGCGGCGCAUUAGCUAGUUGGUGAGGUAACGGCUCACCAAGACGACGAUGCGUAGCCGACCUGAGAGGUGGAUCGGCCACACUGCGACUGGGACACGGCCCAGACUCCUACUGGAGCGAGCAGUAGGGAAUCUUCCGCAAUGGACGAAAGGCUUACGUGGCAACGCCGCGUGAGCGAUGAAGGCCUUCGGGUCGUAAGGCUCUGUUGUUAGGGAAGAACAAGUACCGGAGUAACUGCCGGUACCUUGACGGUACCUAACCAGAAAGCCACGGCUAACUACGUGCCAGCAGCCGCCGUAAGAC